UACGAAGGGUGCAAGCGUUAAUCGGAUUUAUUGGGCGUAAAGGGCGCGUAGGCGGAUAAGUAAGUCAAAUGUGAAAUCUCUGGGCUCAACCUAGAAACUGCAUUUGAAACUGCUAAUCUUGAGGAUAGGCGGAGAAAGUGGAAUUCCAUGUGUAGCGGUGAAAUGCGUAGAUAUGUGGAAGAAUACCAGUGGCGAAGGCG
rnacentral:rRNA from 1 species